ACGCUAGCUACAGGCUUAACACAUGCAAGUCGAGGGGAAACGGCAUUAAGUGCUUGCACUUUAUGGACGUCGACCGGCGCACGGGUGAGUAACGCGUAUCCAACCUUCCCAUGACUAAGGGAUAACCUGCCGAAAGGCAGACUAAUACCUUAUGGUCUUCACUGACGGCAUCAGAUGUGAAGUAAAGAUUUAUCGGUUAUGGAUGGGGAUGCGUCUGAUUAGUUAGUUGGCGGGGUAACGGCCCACCAAGGCAACGAUCAGUAGGGGUUCUGAGAGGAAGGUCCCCCACAUUGGAACUGAGACACGGUCCAAACUCCUACGGGAGGCAGCAGCGAGGAAUAUUGGUCAAUGGGCGAGAGCCUGAACCAGCCAAGUAGCGUGCAGGACGACGGCCCUAUGGGUUGUAAACUGCUUUUGUAUGGGGAUAAAGUCAAUCACGUGUGAUUGUUUGCAGGUACCAUACGAAUAAGGACCGGCUAAUUCCGUGCCAGCAGCCGCGGUAAUACGGAAGGUCCGGGCGUUAUCCGGAUUUAUUGGGUUUAAAGGGAGCGUAGGCUGGAGAUUAAGUGUGUUGUAAAAUGUAGACGCUCAACGUCUGACUUGCAGCGCAUACUGGUUUCCUUGAGUACGCACAACGUUGGCGGAAUUCGUCGUGUAGCGGUGAAAUGCUUAGAUAUGACGAAGAACUCCGAUUGCGAAGGCAGCUGACGGGAGCGCAACUGACGCUGAAGCUCGAAGGUGCGGGUAUCGAACAGGAUUAGAUACCCUGGUAGUCCGCACAGUAAACGAUGGAUGCCCGCUGUUGGUACCUGGUAUCAGCGGCUAAGCGAAAGCAUUAAGCAUCCCACCUGGGGAGUACGCCGGCAACGGUGAAACUCAAAGGAAUUGACGGGGGCCCGCACAAGCGGAGGAACAUGUGG
rnacentral:rRNA from 1 species